AACGUAGGACGCAAGCGUUAUCCGGAGUUACUGGGCGUAAAGCGCGGGCAGGCGGUCUUGCCAGUCUGAUGUGAAAUCUCCUCGCUCAACGGGGAGCAGCCAUUGGAAACUACAAGACUGGAGUCUGACAGAGGUAGGCGGAAUUCCGGGUGGAGUGGUGAAAUGCGUAGAGAUCCGGAGGAACACCAGAGGCGAAGGCGGCCUACUGGGUCAGUACUGACGCUGAGCCGCGAAAGCCAGGGGAGCGAACGGG
rnacentral:rRNA from 2 species